rnacentral:rRNA from 1 species
UAAUACGUAGGGAGCAAGCGUUGUCCGGAUUUAUUGGGCGUAAAGAGCUCGUAGGCGGCUUAGAAAGUCGGGUGUGAAACCUCCAGGCUCAACCUGGAGACGCCACUCGAUACUUCUAUGGCUUGAGUUCGGUAGGGGACCAUGGAAUUCCUGGUGUAGCGGUGAAAUGCGCAGAUAUCAGGAGGAACACCGAUGGCGAAGGCAGUGGUCUGGGCCGAUACUGACGCUGAGGAGCGAAAGCGUGGGGAGCGAACAGGAUUAGAUACCCUGGUAGUCCACGCCGUAAACGUUGGGCACUAGGUGUGGGAGGUAAUCAACGCCUUCCGUGCCGUAGCUAACGCAUUAAGUGCCCCGCCUGGGGAGUACGGUCGCAAGACUA